UUUUUGAGUCAUUCUCAGAUACCAAGCAAGGAGUUAAGUUCCCUGCUAAUUUUUAAAGACAUUGAGGCUUCCAGGAUGUUCUACCUGUGGAUAUGCUUGACUCUGUUCUUUGCUCUACAAAGCACUGUAUCAUCAGAUCAAGCUGUGUCAGUGAAUUGCAGCAAGACUGCAGAAGUUAGACAAAGUGUGACUCUAAAUUGUACCAUAAAUUGGAAAGAUGGCUCAAACUGUAGCGUUUUUGAUAUAUAUACCGUGGAGAACAAAAAUGAGCCCAUACAAUGUUACAGCAGUUUGACAAAACACAUCUGUAAAGGGGAUCGUCUGAAGUAUGUCUCAGUGACCGUCCCAAGUGUCACGAAAGAGGUGAACGUUACAGUUGAAAUCAGGUCAGGCUGUGGUAUGGCUAAAUCCCAUCCUGCACAACUAUUCCCUACUGCACAACUAUUCCCUACUGCACAACUAUUCCCUACUGCACAACUAUUCC